rnacentral:rRNA from 1 species
AUACGUAGGGGGCGAGCGUUGUCCGGAAUGAUUGGGCGUAAAGGGCGCGUAGGCGGCCCGGUAAGUCUGGAGUGAAAGUCCUGCUUUUAAGGUGGGAACUGCUUUGGAUACUGUCGGGCUUGAGUGCAGGAGAGGUAAGUGGAAUUCCGAGUGUAGCGGUGAAAUGCGUAGAGAUUGGGAGGAACACCAGUGGCGAAGGCGACUUACUGGACUGUAACUGACGCUGAGGCGCGAAAAUGUGGGGAGCAAACAGGAUUAGAUACCCUGGUAGUCCACACUGUAAACGAUGAAUGCUAGGUGUAGGGGGUAGCGACCCCUUCUGUGCCGCAGUUAACACAAUAAGCAUUCCGCCUGGGGAGUACGGCCGCAAGGUUGAAACUCAAAUGAAUUGACGGGG